rnacentral:rRNA from 1 species
UACGGGGGGAGCAAGCGUUGUCCGGAUUUACUGGGCGUAAAGGGCGCGUAGGCGGCCACCGCAAGUCGGUUGUGAAAUCUCCGGGCUUAACCCGGAAAGGUCAAUCGAUACUGCGGGGCUAGAGUGCAGAAGGGGCAACUGGAAUUCUCGGUGUAGCGGUGAAAUGCGUAGAUAUCUGGAGGAAUACCGGUGGCGAAGGCGGCAUCCUGGACCGGCAUUGACGCUGAGGAGCGAAAGCCAGGGGAGCAAACGGG